GAUGAACGCUGGCGGCGUGCCUAAUACAUGCAAGUCGAGCGAACAGACGAGGAGCUUGCUCCUCUGACGUUAGCGGCGGACGGGUGAGUAACACGUGGAUAACCUACCCAUAAGACUGGGAUAACUUCGGGAAACCGGAGCUAAUACCGGAUAAUAUAUUGAACCGCAUGGUUCAAUAGUGAAAGACGGUUUUGCUGUCACUUAUAGAUGGAUCCGCGCCGCAUUAGCUAGUUGGUAAGGUAACGGCUUACCAAGGCAACGAUGCGUAGCCGACCUGAGAGGGUGAUCGGCCACACUGGAACUGAGCCACGGUCCAGACUCCUACGGGAGGCAGCAGUAGGGAAUCUUCCGCAAUGGGCGAAAGCCUGACGGAGCAACGCCGCGUGAGUGAUGAAGGUCUUCGGAUCGUAAAACUCUGUUAUUAGGGAAGAACAAAUGUGUAAGUAACUAUGCACGUCUUGACGGUACCUAAUCAGAAAGCCACGGCUAACUACGUG
rnacentral:rRNA from 1 species